UACGAAGGGGACUAGCGUUGUUCGGAAUCACUGGGCGUAAAGCGCACGUAGGCGGAUUUGUAAGUCAGGGGUGAAAUCCCGGGGCUCAACCUCGGAACUGCCUUUGAUACUGCGAAUCUUGAGUCCGAUAGAGGUGGGUGGAAUUCCUAGUGUAGAGGUGAAAUUCGUAGAUAUUAGGAAGAACACCAGUGGCGAAGGCGGCUCACUGGUCCGGUACUGACGCUGAGGUGCGAAAGCGUGGGGAGCAAACAGG
rnacentral:rRNA from 1 species